UCCAUCCUACGGGAGGCAGCAGUGAGGAAUAUUGGUCAAUGGACGAGAGUCUGAACCAGCCAAGUAGCGUGAAGGAUGACUGCCCUAUGGGUUGUAAACUUCUUUUAUAUGGGAAUAAAGUUUUCCACGUGUGGAAUAUUGUAUGUACCAUCAGAAAAAGGACCGGCUAAUUCCGUGCCAGCAGCCGCGGUAAUACGGAAGGUCCGGGCGUUAUCCGGAUUUAUUGGGUUUAAAGGGUGCGCAGGCGGAAGAUCAAGUCAGCGGUAAAAUUGAGAGGCUCAACCUCUUCGAGCCGUUGAAACUGG
rnacentral:rRNA from 1 species